rnacentral:misc_RNA from 1 species
GAUGAAGAACGCAGCGAAAUGCGAUAAGUAAUGCGAAUUGCAGAAUUCAGUGAAUCAUCGAAUCUUUGAACGCACAUUGCGCCCUCUGGUAUUCCGGGGGGCAUGCCUGUUCGAGCGUCAUUAUAACCACUCAAGCUCUCGCUUGGUAUUGGGGUUCGCGGUUCCGCGGCCCCUAAAAUCAGUGGCGGUGCCUGUCGGCUCUACGCGUAGUAAUACUCCUCGCGAUUGAGUCCGGUAGGUCUACUUGCCAGCAACCCCCAAUUUUUACAGGUUGACCUCGGAUCAGGUAGGGAUACCCGCUGAACUUAAGCAUAUCAAUAAGCGGAGGA